rnacentral:misc_RNA from 1 species
GAUGAAGAACGUAGCGAAAUGCGAUACGUAAUGUGAAUUGCAGAAUUCCGUGAAUCAUCGAAUCUUUGAACGCACAUUGCGCCCCCUGGCAUUCCGGGGGGCAUGCCUGUCCGAGCGUCAUUUCUGCCCUCAAGCACGGCUUGCGUGUUGGGUGUGGUCCCCCCGGGGACCUGCCCGAAAGGCAGCGGCGACGUCCGUCUGGUCCUCGAGCGUAUGGGGCUCUGUCACUCGCUCGGGAAGGACCUGCGGGGGUUGGUCACCACCAUGUUUUACCACGGUUGACCUCGGAUCAGGUAGGAGUUACCCGCUGAACUUAAGCAUAUCAAUAAGCGGAGGA